GGCCUUGGGGAUGUCAUGUUUCCGCGCAAAUUCCUUCGCCCGGCUUAGGUCGCGGGCUGCUACCGCCACCACCUGGAGGGGCGCUAGGGUCAGACUAGAGGGACUGGGGAAGGCGCAGGCGCGGCGCAGGUGGAUGGGAGAGAGGUGAUGGAGAAGGCCCCGGACCCAGGAGCCCCGGCUCCCCGGCCUGCUCUUCCACAGGAUUCCGGAGGGAGUGUGGACCUGGUGCUCGGAGCGUGGCAGCGUCCGCAGCGCCGUCGUGAAGUCGCUGGAGAUAAGGCCGACUGACACGAUGCCCCAGCGCAGCGCCAUCGCAAAAA